rnacentral:tRNA from 1 species
GUCAUCAUGGCCAAGUGGUUAAGGCGAUGGACUAGAGAUCCAUUGGGGUCUCCCUGCAUAGGUUCGAAUCCUAUCAGCGACA